rnacentral:lncRNA from 1 species
GCAUGAGGAUAGGGUGACACUCGAAUCUCAGUCUCCACAGAGAACUCAACACACUAUCGUAUCGCAAUACGAACACCACCGGUUCGACAAGAAUUCUAAGGAAAUGACAGAACACUUGCUCUCACAACUUCACCAUCACAACCAUACACAUAUCACCCGCAUAUUCAAAGUCAACCAAAUUCAUUGACCAACAAUUAAUUAAAAUACUCAAAUAAUUAAAUCAAUCAAUUUUUCACAAUAAAAAAUAAUAUAAUUAUUUUCCUACUUGCGCACCCCCGUUAAAUUAUUAAUCUCACCNUCUCAUUCCACUAGAACCAAUAUUUCUAGUGCACCCCCGAUUUUACUAAUUCACAACACAAAAUAAAACACUUUUUAAUGUACCACUUUUUAUCUUAAAUACACCCCCUCUCUUAAAUUUACCAACCAAGUGGACCCCAUUAAUCUUUUUAAUUUUAAACUCAAACUUUAUAUUAUUUUUUUUCUCUCCAAGUGGACCCCACUUGAAAUAACUCUUUUCCCACAAAACUCUCUUUCUCUGUCCAUUUUUUUUCUACUUUUACGUAACUCAUCUUCCUUUCUCUCAUCCCCUUUUUAUUUUAUUUUUUUCAAUUAAACCAAAAUCCACCUCAUAUUUCACAAUGUCAAACUUCUCUCUUAAAACAAAGUUCACGGCCCCACACCAUAACACUCCUUAUUUCAUUUUGAUUUUCUCUCUUCAUUCAUUCUACGUAACACACAUCUCAUGCAUUCCCAUCCUUUUUUUUUCUUCUUUUUCAACACAAAACAAAACUCCAUUCUCUUUCUCACUCUCAACAUGUUUCUUUCACGCUGCAACAUCCCAACACUCCUUCCCCUUCAUGUUCUUCUUCCUCCAAUGACAUCAAGCUUUUUCUUUCUUCAUUACUUUCAUCAACCCCAUAUACCCCAUCUCACAACAACAUCACUUUCACUCCUCUCAUACUCAUAACUCACUCUUUUCUCUUCCAAAAAUAGGAGAGUACUCUCAAUACCCUCCUACCCACACUCUUGGUUAAAGAGUGUAGAUAAGCAUCCCACAAAAUAUUGUAAUUCAUACAUGGUAAUAAGGAAACAAGAUGCACACAAUAUAACAUGAUUUUAAGUGUACCCAUAAAACUUUUUCAUACACAUACAUCACCCCAAAGUGCCCAAAACAUGUAUACCCAUUUUAAGAACAACACUUUUUGAAAAACCAACAUGUAAAGUUCAAAGUAUACCCAUAACUAAAAAAAAAAACGAAAAUAACAAUAUAUAUACAACCCAAAGUAUACCCCUUCACAACCCCAAUUUUUGAAAAUNCAUGAAAAUAAUCAUUCUCCAUACAACAACACAUGAAACUAAACACAAAAGGAGAGAGCAUGCAUCAACAUAUUAACUUUAAUCUCAACACAAAAGAAAGGAAGCAUGCAUCAACAUUAUCAUGUUACCUUCUACCUAUCAUACACCACAUUAUAUCCCAAGUUGAACCCCUUACCUCUAAUUCCAAGCAAGCUUCCAAAGGCUUUUAGGUUUCUUCCCUCAAUAAACAACAAGCUUCCACUCUUCCAAGAUCUCUUCAAUUCACGGUCAAUACACCAAGGUUAGGGUGACUCUUCUUUCUCUCACCAACUUAUUUGUUCUCACAAUGCAAUAUAUCUCUCCACUCAAUCUUACGGUUCCCUCUCUCUUUUUUCUUUCCACUCUCUAAAAGCUUGUAAUAGCCCUAACAAACUUAAACUUUCUCACUUAAGUAAAACCAACCCUAUACCUUACUAAUCCUUAACCCCCCUAUUCUAGGUCACUCCCAAGGGCACCCUUAAGCCAUUUCAGAUUUUUCCCAUUCCUAACUCCACAUUAAAACCAAUAAAACCUCUCUUUAAUGUGUGUAAAUGGUAGUUUUUUAAAAAGGUGUUAAAGUGCCCCCUUAACCCUCAUUUAUGUAGCCUACAAUUACUAAUAGAAUGGUAACCUCCCACAAGGUAAUCAAAGGUCUCUUACAAGCUUCUCAAGUCUGGAAAACCAGUGUCCAAAUUCCAUGCAAAGGUNCAAAGGUCUCUUACAAGCUUCUCAAGUCUGGAAAACCAGUGUCCAAAUUCCAUGCAAAGGUGGAAAAACGUUGAGACCCAUGCAAUGUAACAUGUGAAUGCAAGAAAUAAAUGAGAAGCAAAAGAUCUCUCCUCUUGGNCNUUCANGGUCCUACUUUAAACAACCAAGCCUUUCCUGAUUUCUCUCUCUCUCCCACCAUACAAAUAAGACAAAAGAAAAUUAAAAGCAACCAAACAAU